rnacentral:rRNA from 1 species
AUGGUUGGACGAGAUAUUAACUGUUUCAUUUAAAAUUAAAAUAAAAUUUUAUUUUUUAGUCAAAAAGCUAAAAUAAAUUUAAAAGACGAGAAGACCCUAUAAAUCUUUAUAUUUUAUUUAUUUUAAUUAUAAAGAUUAAUUUGAUUUUAAUAAAUUAAAAUAUUUUAUUGGGGUGAUAUUAAAAUUUAAAAAACUUUUAAUUUUUAAAAACAUUAAUUUAUGAAUAAUUGAUCCAUUAAUAAUGAUUAAAAAAUUAAGUUACUUUAGGGAUAACAGCGUAAUUUUUUUGGAGAGUUCAUAUCGAUAAAAAAGAUUGCGACCUCGAUGUUGGAUUAAGAUAUAAUUUUGGGUGUAGCCGUUCAAAUUUUAAGUCUGUUCGACUUUUAAAUUCUUACAUGAUCUGAGUUCAAACCGGUGUAAGCCAGGUUGGUUUCUAUCUUUAAAAAAUUAUAAUAUUUUAGUACGAAAGGACCAAAUAUUAAAAUAAUUAUAUUUAAUAAAAUGAAUAUUAUUAAUAU